rnacentral:rRNA from 1 species
CCUACGGGAGGCAGCAGUGGGGAAUAUUGCACAAUGGGGGAAACCCUGAUGCAGCGACGCCGCGUGAGUGAAGACGUACUUCGUUAUGUAAAGCUCUAUCAGCAGGGAAGAAAAUGACGGUACCUGAGUAAGAAGCCCCGGCUAACUACGUGCCAGCAGCCGCGGUAAUCCGUAGGGGGCAAGCGUUAUCCGGAUUUACUGGGUGUAAAGGGAGCGUAGACGGCAGUGCAAGUCUGGAGUGAAAGGCGGGGGCUCAACCCCCGGACUGCUCUGGAAAAUGGACGGCUGGAGUGCAGGAGAGGUAAGUGGAAUGCCUGGUGUAGCGGUGAAAUGCGUAGAUAUUAGGAAGAACACCAGUUGCGAAGGCGGCAUACUGGACUGUAACUGACGUUGAGGCUCGAAAGCGUGGGGAGCGAACAGGAUUAGAUACCCCUGUAGUC